rnacentral:rRNA from 1 species
AUUGAACGCUGGCGGCAGGCCUAACACAUGCAAGUCGAACGCGAAAGUUCUUCGGAAUGAGUAGAGUGGCGGACGGGUGAGUAACGCGUAGGAAUCUGCCCUGUAGUGGGGGAUAACUGAUCGAAAGAUUAGCUAAUACCGCAUAAGACCACAGAGGCUCAGGCUUCAGAGGUCAAAGGAGCAAUUCGCUUGAUGGUGAGCCCGCGUCGGAUUAGCUAGUUGGUAAGGUAACGGCUUACCAAGGCGAUGAUCCGUAGCUGGUCUGAGAGGAUGAUCAGCCACACUGGAACUGAGACACGGUCCAGACUCCUACGGGAGGCAGCAGUAGGGAAUAUUGCGCAAUGGGGGAAACCCUGACGCAGCGACGCCGCGUGAGUGAUGAAGGCCUUCGGGUCGUAAAGCUCUGUUGCAAGGGAAUAAGAAAGUGAAUGUACCUUGUGAGGAAGGAUCGGCUAACUUCGUGCCAGCAGCCGCCGUAAGAC